AUACAGGGGGUGCGAGCGUUAAUCGGAAUUACUGGGCGUAAAGGGUCCGUAGGCGGUUGCUUAAGUCAGAUGUGAAAGCCCCGGGCUCAACCUGGGAACUGCAUUUGAAACUGAGUGACUAGAGUUUAAGAGAGGGGAGUAGAAUUCCGGGUGUAGCGGUGAAAUGCGUAGAGAUCCGGAGGAAUAACAGUGGCGAAGGCGGCUCCCUGGCUUAAAACUGACGCUGAGGUACGAAAGCGUGGGUAGCAAACAGGAUUAGAAACCCGAGUAGUCC
rnacentral:rRNA from 1 species